rnacentral:rRNA from 1 species
ACAGCAGCAGCCACGGGAAUACGUAGGUGGCAAGCGUUGUCCGGAAUUAUUGGGCGUAAAGCGCGUGCAGGUGGUUUAAUAAGUCUGAUGUGAGAGCCCACGGCUCAACCGUGGAGGGUCAUUGGAAACUGUUAAACUUGAGUGCAGGAGAGAAAAGUGGAAUUCCUAGUGUAGCGGUGAAAUGCGUAGAGAUUAGGAGGAACACCAGUGGCGAAGGCGGCUUUUUGGCCUGUAACUGACACUGAGGCGCGAAAGCGUGGGGAGCAAACGGGAUUAGAUACCCCUGUAGUCCCUGUCUCUUAUAU